rnacentral:rRNA from 1 species
GACGAACGCUGGCGGCGUGCUUAACACAUGCAAGUCGAGCGAGGCCCUUCUUCGGGAGGUAGCCCUAGCGGGCGAACGGGUGAGUAACACGUGGGCAACCUGCCCUCAGCUCUGGGAGUAAACUCCAAGAAAUUGGUGCUAAUACCGGAUGUGACCGCUGACCGCAUGGUCUGGUGGUGGAAAGAUUUCAAUCGGGCUGAGGAUGGGCCCGCGGCCUAUCAGCUUGUGGUGGGGAAUGGCCUACCAAGGCGACGACGGGUAGCCGGCCUGAGAGGGUGACCGG